GCCACCUUGGCUUAGUGGCAGAGCGUCGCUCUCGUAAAGCGAAGGUCGCAGGUUCGAUUCCUGCAGGUGGCA
rfam:Pristionchus pacificus strain PS312 contig6069, whole genome shotgun sequence.